AUCGCUUCUCGGCCUUUUGGCUAAGAUCAAAGUGUAGUAUCAGUUCUUCCACCAACUGGCUAAAGAAAGUAUGUUACUGAAUUUGUGGAAGGAAAAAUAGAAUGACCAAACUUGGCAAGGCAGGUUUUCAUGCUAACCACUUUCUCUAUCUCCCCCCAAAAACGAAUCAAUAUCUUUUCGUCCGGGCAAAAAACUC
rfam:Pteropus alecto contig86372, whole genome shotgun sequence.